rnacentral:rRNA from 1 species
AUGACAUCGGAGAUAGAGUGGAAAACACAAUGCAUAGCCGAAUGGGGAGAUUACAAAUCUGAACCAUUCGUUUGCUUAUCUCCAAAGCCGUUCAAACAGCAAGAUCGGCUAGAAAACAAGAAGUAUACCUUUAAUUCAAGCAUGUGUGAUCAAAUAUUUGAUUUGUUGCUGAAAAAUAAUUACAUUACAAUUCUUGAUCACCAUGUUAAGCCAUCAAUCCAAGGACGAAUGUAUUGUAAGUUGCAUGAUUCGUCCAAGCAUAAUUUUGAGGAUUGCAACAUGUUUCGUCAAAUAGUUAAAUCGGCCAUUGAAAAGGGACGAUUGAAGUUUGUUGAAACACCAAGAGAUGACCAGUCUUUUCCGAUUGGUCCCGAUGGCAAAAAGUUUUUGCAUCGGCUGCUUCAAGCCGAUCCAUUUAAAGAGAAUGUAAAAGCUGCAGGUGAUGGGAUCAAGCUUUCAAGUAAAGAAGUUGUUGAAGAGCAUAACAAGCAUAAUCUUGAGGGCGAGAGUUCCAUCGAAGCUAUAAUAGAGACGCCAAGGACUGGGGGGCAGCAAGCAAAUCCAAUGAUCGAUGACUGCAAACCAAAAGAAAACAAAGGCCGAAAUAAGCGCAAGUAUAAGAGAUCAAAAAUCACCUUCGCUAAACUAUUGGAUAAAUAUCGAAAGAAGAGUGAAGAGAAGAAUGCUUAUCGGCCAAAUCAUGCAAAGAAACCAAGAUCACCCCCAAGGCGCAAAUAUGAGGAUUGGUAUUGGCAAAGUGAUAAUUUGAAUGCAACAUAUUCAUAUCCUUAUUUUGGGCCGCCAAUGCCAAUGCCGUGGAUGCCUCCCUAUGCUCAUAUAGAUACAUAUUCAUCAUGGGACAGGUAUGAUACAAGGGCACAUUCUCCAUCUUAUUUUAGACCAUCUCACCAAUAUUAUGUAGCUCCAAGAAGAUCAACAUCUGAAAAAUCACAUGUUAAAGACCGUUUCAAUCAUAAAGAAUCGGUCCCGAGCUCAAGGAAGAAGAAAGAGGUGGUCAAACAAGUUUACCGCGUUAAAAGAGAUGGUCGUAAGAGUGUUACUUCAGAUUUGAUCUCAAAUGAAAAAGAGCCAAUGAAAGUGUUGACAUUGGCUACUAAAGGCAAUGAGAUGGAGCAACCAAUUAUUGAGAGUCAAAGUGCCAAAUCUGAAGAAAAGAAGUUGAGAGUGCACAAGGCCAAGAAAGAAUUGCCAUUGGUCAAAACAGAAUCACAGCCGAGAUGCCCACUCGGCUUAUCGUAUUGGCAAAAGAAGGAAUUACAAAAUCUUAGUGCACAGGAGCUGAGAAAGAGGAACAUGGCAUGGGUUCCCAAGAGGAUCAAUCAUAACAAAAACGAUGUGCAUGCUUUAAUUGCAACAAGUACAAUGAAAGUGAAGAAAGAGAAGGAUGGAAGCAACAAACAAUUAAGCCGAAAGUGUGCAUCACAACAUCAAAAUCUUCGGUUAGCACAACAUCCAUUUUCUUCAACAAUGCCAUUGAUGCAUUUGCCAUGGAAUUCAUCCACAGGUAUGAUCAGUUACCCUCCAUGGACUUAUUUUGAUCCAUGGAUGCAACAUAAUUUUCUAUAUCAUGACAGAGUAUUACCAAAUCACUAUACAUUUGGUUAG